GUGUCAGCAGCCGCGCGGUAAUACGGGGGAUGCAAGCGUUAUCCGGAAUCAUUGGGCGUAAAGCGCCUGUAGGUUGUUUAAUAAGUCUGUUGUUAAAGACUAGGGCUUAACCCUAGAAAAGCAAUGGAAACUACUAGACUAGAGUAUGGCAGGGGUAGAGGGAAUUUCUAGUGUAGCGGUGAAAUGCGUAGAUAUUAGAAAGAACACCGGUGGCGAAAGCGCUCUACUGGACCAUUACUGACACUCAGAGGCGAAAGCUAGGGUAGCAAAAGGGAUUAGAUACCCCUGUAGUCCUAGCCGUAAACGAUGGAUACUAGAUGUUGUGCUUCAUGUACAGUAUCGUAGCUAACGCGUUAAGUAUCCCGCCUGGGGAGUACGCUCGCAAGGGUGAAACUCAAAGGAAUUGACGGGGGCCCGCACAAGCGGUGGAGCAUGUGGUUUAAUUCGAUGCAACGCGAAGAACCUUACCAGGGCUUGACAUACUACAAAUUCUUUAGAGAUAGAGAAGUGCCUUCGGGAAUGUAGAUACAGGUGGUGCAUGGCUGUCGUCAGCUCGUGUCGUGAGAUGUUGGGUUAAGUCCCGCAACGAGCGCAACCCUUAUUUUUAGUUACUAAUUCGUUAGGUUUUCUAGAAAGACUGCCGGUGACAAACCGGAGGAAGGUGAGGAUGACGUCAAGUCAGCAUGCCCCUUAUGUCCUGGGCUACACACGUGCUACAAUGGUUAAGACAAAGAGUCGCGAGCUCGCGAGAGUCAGCUAAUCUCAUAAACUUAGCCUAAGUUCAGAUUGUAGGCUGCAACUCGCCUACAUGAAGUUGGAAUCGCUAGUAAUCGCUGGUCAGCCAUACAGCGGUGAAUCCGUUCCCGGGCCUUGCACACACCGCCCGUCA
rnacentral:rRNA from 1 species